rnacentral:rRNA from 1 species
GAUGAACGCUGGCGGCGUGCCUAAUACAUGCAAGUCGAGCGAAUGGAUUAAGAGCUUGCUCUUAUGAAGUUAGCGGCGGACGGGUGAGUAACACGUGGGUAACCUGCCCAUAAGACUGGGAUAACUCCGGGAAACCGGGGCUAAUACCGGAUAAUAUUUUGAACUGCAUGGUUCAAAAUUGAAAGGCGGCUUCGGCUGUCACUUAUGGAUGGACCCGCGUCGCAUUAGCUGGUUGGUGAGGUAACGGCUCACCAAGGCAACGAUGCGUAGCCGACCUGAGAGGGUGAUCGGCCACACUGGGACUGAGACACGGCCCAGACCCCUACGGGAGGCAGCAGUAGGGAAUCUUCCGCAAUGGACGAAAGUCUGACGGAGCAACGCCGCGUGAGUGAUGAAGGCUUUCGGGUCGUAAAACUCUGUUGUUAGGGAAGAACAAGUGCUAGUUGAAUAAGCUGGCACCUUGACGGUACCUAACCAGAAAGCCACGGCUAACUACGUGCCAGCAGCCGCCGUAA